AUGAUGAUCUUCAUCACCAAAAACAUUUGCCUUUUUUUUUUUUUCUAGAUGCAUAACUGGUACAAAACUGCCACUGUUUGGGAAAAAAAAAAAAUCCCUAAAGUUCAUUCAAAGUUUAAUUCUUUUUAUCUUGCAAAUCAAUACUGCUUUAUGUUACUGGAGUCUUUAUUCAGAAGUAGUCUUUCAAGGCCAGACUGUGUAGCCUGUAUUCACACGAGUGAACAUGAAGGGAUGAAUAUGCAGGUGGAUUAUCCAGGUUUACAUGGAUACAAGUAUCAGAGCAGCAUAGAACUGAGAAAAUCUUGAAGUCUUCUUUGCUAUUCGGCACUAUUUCAUGACAGACUCUCAUUUCAAAUGGUGUGUUGAGGACAACUGAUCUAGCAUGUAGGGGUAACCUAAAUACUAAGUCAUCUAAAAAUAUUAUUUCCACUUUUAUUGGUGAUUAUAAAAGAUCAGAAUAUGCACUAUCUCUCAGUCGACCAUACAUUCAUUAGAAUUCAGCAUGAAAAAUAACAUCUGUAUUCUCUGAAAGAAAAAUGAAAAUUAUGCAAGGAAAUCACUAAGAAACAAAGAAACUUCUGAGAAAUUUCUCAUUGGUCUUUGGAAGUAUUUAUGUGAGAGAAAAUGACAGGCAUCCAUUUAUACCACUUUCAUGAUACUUUGGGUUUUAUGGAUUCUGUAGUAUGUAACAGCCCCAUUCCAGAAUCCUUCUGUAACAGAUUCUUAUUACAAAAGGAAUGAUGUUCUUUUUUCACUGAAGGUAUCAAACAGUUGCUGAGUGCAAUAUAGACAGGAUUUCAGAAUACAUGAUUGGACUUUCUCACAGGAAGGAAAAGGUUUUUUUCAGGAGUAAAAAUAUUUUUAUAAUGUGGACAAAUCUUUUCCUUUGUUUCUAGGAUAACAUCAAACCCCCAUCCCUCAGGACUGAUAUUUUUCUCACUGAAAGCAUAAUUCCUUCUGAUCCAAUUGUGAGUUCCAACUGUAUUAAGACUGAGGGCUGGAAGUCUGCCACAUCUAUCUAGAAUUUUAAUUAGAUAAAAGUAUGUGCUUAGACUUAAGCACAGACUUAAACUCUUGUUUGAGUGGGAUCUAUGUCAGUAUCUUGGCAGGAGCUCAACAAAUACAACCCAAAGCAAUUAAAAAAAUGAGGGCUUUUUUAAGGUAAUGACUUUACCUAUGACUUCACUGAAUGUACAGUCAAGCCCAAAAAUUGAUGAAUAAGCUUAACUUAAACAUAGAAUCAAAUUUAUAUGGUCUCUUAGACAGCAAUGUUAGAUGAAGUUUUGUCAUACCUGAAUUCAAAAGACUCCUAGACACUUUGUCCUAUUAAAACAACUAAUUCCUCUUUAAAAUUUUAGAAAUAACUGGGGUUUAUAUUACUCUAAAUACAUCAAAAGUCUAUGACAUUUGAACUGCAAAUUUUAAAAUUUUCUGCUAUCUAGAAACAAGUAAAAAAUUCCUUAGGAAUGUUAAUGUCUUUUUUCUUCCACCCUCCAAAUAUGCUUGACAAAAUACUUUCCUAAUAUCCAAAUUAGGUCAAUUAAUUUUUCAGUAUUUUAAAAUUGUUAUAGGUUUUCUAUUUCUUUAUCAGAAGUAAAAUUAAAUAUUAGUUAUGUGCUGGAUUAAGUAAAUAGAUUUGCUUCCCUAGGAAAGCAAAAUAAAGUCCACACAGAAAUCA
ensembl:lncRNA